rnacentral:RNase_P_RNA from 1 species
GGAGUCGGCCAGACAGCCGCUGUGUGCAGGCACAGAGGAAAGUCCGGGCUCCAUAGGGCAGGGUGCCAGGUAACACCUGGGCGUUAUAAGUCGGGACCUCGUCCCGGCCCAAGGCGACGGAAAGUGCAACAGAAACAUACCGCCGAUGGCUGGUCACCAGACCAGAUCAGGUAAGGGUGAAAUCGUGCGGUAAGAGCGCACGGCCGCGCUGGCAACAGUGGCGGCGGGCAAACCCCACCCGGAGCAAGGCCAAAUAGGCAGACGCGUUCUUUGAACACCGGCGGCCCGCCGGAGUCUGCGGGUAGGCUGCUUGAGGCGGUGAGCGAUCAUCGUCCCAGAUGAAUGGCUGUCCACGACAGAACCCGGCUUAUCGGCCGACUCCCACU